GGAUGAAUGCUUUCAGUAGGCCUAACACAUGUUAGUAGAAUGCAAAAACAUAGCAUUGCGUACGGGUGAGUAAAUUGGUAAAGAAAUUUGCUUUAAAGCUUGGGUUAAUACCGAAAGAAGAUUUAAAAUCGCUUUAAAAUUUGCUUCCAGGAAUUAGUUAGUUGGUAGAUAAAAGACAAACCAAGACCAUAAUGCCUAGUUGAUCUUAGCAGUUGAUCAGCCACACUGGAACUGAGACAAGGCCAGGCUUUUGCCAGCAGUGAGGAAUAUUGGACAAUGGGCGAAAGCUUGAUCCAGCAAUACUGUGUGAAUGAUGAAGGCCCAAAGAGCUCUGCUGUGGUGGCUUAGCUGGUUGUAAAUUCUUUCAGUAAUUNUUAUUAUGACUAAGUUACAAAAUGAUC
rnacentral:rRNA from 1 species